UCAGUAGUGGCGCAGUGGCUAACAGAUCUGGCUAUGACGCAGAAGGCCAGAGGUUCGAUCCCCGCCACUGUU